rnacentral:rRNA from 1 species
AUUUUCUUUGGUAGCAAUACCGAAGGAAAUUCAGCGGCGAACGGGUGCGUAACACGUGGGCAAUCUGCCUUAAAGUGUGGGAUAGCUCGGCGAAAGCCGAAUUAAUACCGCAUGUGAUCAGAGGCGACAUCGCUUCGAAAUCAAAGGUGGCGCAAGCUACCGCUUUUUGAGGAGCCCGCGGCCUAUCAGCUUGUUGGUGAGGUAACGGCUCACCAAGGCUAUGACGGGUAGCUGGUCUGAGAGGACGACCAGCCACACUGGGACUGAGACACGGCCCAGACACCUACGGGUGGCAGCAGUCGAGAAUUUUUGACAAUGGGGGAAACCCUGAUCGAGCGACGCCGCGUGGAGGAUGAAGGUCUUCGGGUUGUAAACUCCUGUCAUUUGAGAACAAGGCGCAUGUAUUAACUGUGCAUGCGUUGAUAGUAUCAGAAGAGGAAGGGACGGCUAACUCUGUGCCAGCAGCCGCGGUAAUACAGAGGUCCCAAGCGUUGUUCGGAUUCAUUGGGCGUAAAGGGUGUGUAGGUGGCGCGCUAAGUCGGGUGUGAAAUUUCGGAGCUUAACUCCGAAACUGCAUUCGAUACUGGCGUGCUUGAGGACUGGAGAGGAGACUGGAAUUUACGGUGUAGCAGUGAAAUGCGUAGAUAUCGUAAGGAAGACCAGUGGCGAAGGCGGGUCUCUGGACAGUUCCUGACACUGAGACACGAAGGCCAGGGGAGCAAACGGGAUUAGAUACCCCGGUAGUCCUGGCAGUAAACGGUGCACGUUUGGUGUGGGAGGAUUCGACCCCUUCUGCGCCGGAGCUAACGCGUUAAACGUGCCGCCUGGGGAGUAC